GGUAACGCUUGUGCUGGCGCCGCGUUAAGACGGCUUGUGCGAACUUUAACAUGAAUUACUGGGUGUACAGUGUGCGGAUGCGGCGAAUUAAUUUGGUGUGGGAAUGCCUGGGGUUAACCUGGGAGCUGCGUUGAAUACUGAGUUGCCAGAGUGCAGUAGAGGAUGUGGGAAUUUACGGUGUAGCGGUGAAAUGCGUAGAUAUCGGAAGGAACACCAGUGGCGAAGGCGGCUAUCUGGACUGACACUGACGCUGAGGCGCGAAAGCGUGGGGAGCAAACAGGAUUAGAUACCCUAGUAGUC
rnacentral:rRNA from 1 species